CAAAGGAGUGAUCCGGUGGCGGAUGGGCAUGCGGCGCAUUAGCUAGACGGCGGGGUGACGGCCCACCGUGGCGACGAUGCGUAGGGGUUCUGAGAGGAAGGCCCCCCACACUGGGACUGAGACACGGCCCAGACUCCUACGGGAGGCAGCAGUGAGGAAUAUUGGUCAAUGGGCGGAAGCCUGAACCAGCCAAGUCGCGUGAGGGAUUAAGGCCCUGCGGGUCGUAAACCUCUUUUGCCGGGGAGCAGUGGUCCGGACGCGUCCGGGCCGGGAGAGUACCCGGAGAAAAAGCAUCGGCUAACUCCGUGCCAGCAGCCGCGGUAAUACGGAGGAUGCGAGCGUUAUCCGGAUUUAUUGGGUUUAAAGGGUGCGUAGGCGGGCAUUUAAGCCGGCGGUCAAAUGUCGGGGCUCAACCCCGGCCUGCCGUCGGAACUGGGUGCCUUGAGUGGGCGAGAAGUAUGCGGAAUGCGUGGUGUAGCGGUGAAAUGCAUAGAUAUCACGCAGAACCCCGAUUGCGAAGGCAGCAUACCGGCGCCCGACUGACGCUGAGGCACGAAAGUGCGGGUAUCGAACAGGAUUAGAUACCCUGGUAGUCCGCACAGUAAACGAUG
rnacentral:rRNA from 1 species